AAUCCACCAUCCAAAAAACAAAAAAGAAAUUAUUUGGAUCAUUGAAUGCCAGGGGGAAGAAAUAAAAGGAAAUGAUUAGUCUCAGGAGAAUCUAGCAGACUUCACAGAGGGGACAAGUGUGCCACUGAUGUCUUCCCUUAGCCUCUCCUCUUCAGAAUUUUUCCAGGAGGGAAUCAGAUACUGGUACUUGUGUCUACCAAACUCCAGAGAACCCUAGCCAAACCAUCCAAGUAAUUUUCUUGAAUCUUCAUAUUUGGAUCAAGAGUUACUGGACAUUUAAAUUUGCAUAUAUGAUU